rnacentral:rRNA from 1 species
CCUAUGGGGCGCAGCAGGCGCGAAAACUUUACAAUGCAGGAAACUGUGAUAAGGAAACACCGAGUGCUCACAUCAAAUGUGGGCUGUCCACAUGCUUAAAUCGCAUGUGUUAGCAAGGGCCGGGCAAUACCGGUGCCAGCCGCCGCGGUAAUACCGGUGGCCCGAGUGGUAGCCGCUUUUAUUUGGUCUAAAGGGUCCGUAGCCGGUUCGGGCAGUCUAUUGGUAAAUUCGAAUGCCCAACAUUCGAUCUUUCAGUGGAUACUUCCGGACUAGGAACCGGGAGAGGUAAGAGGUACUGUAGGGGUAGGAGUGAAAUCUUGUAAUCCCUAUGAGACCACCUGUGGCGAAGGCGUCUUACCGGAACGGGUUCGACGGUGAGGGACGAAAGCCGGGGGCACGAACCGGAUUAGAUACCCCCGUAGUCC